GACGAACGCUGGCGGCGUGCUUAACACAUGCAAGUCGAACGGAAAGGCCCUGCUUUUGUGGGGUGCUCGAGUGGCGAACGGGUGGGUAACACGUGAGUAACCUGCCCUUGACUUUGGGAUAACUUCAGGAAACUGGGGCUAAUACCGGAUAGGAGCUCCUGCUGCAUGGUGGGGGUUGGAAAGUUUCGGCGGUUGGGGAUGGACUCGCGGCUUAUCAGCUUGUUGGUGGGGUAGUGGCUUACCAAGGCUUUGACGGGUAGCCGGCCUGAGAGGGUGACCGGCCACAUUGGGACUGAGAUACGGCCCAGACUCCUACGGGAGGCAGCAGUGGGGAAUAUUGCACAAUGGGCGGAAGCCUGAUGCAGCAACGCCGCGUGCGGGAUGACGGCCUUCGGGUUGUAAACCGCUUUCGCCUGUGACGAAGCGUGGGUGACGGUAAUGGGUAAAGAAGCACCGGCUAACUACGU
rnacentral:rRNA from 1 species